rnacentral:rRNA from 1 species
AGCAGUCGCCGCGGUAAUACGAAGGGUGCAAGCGUUACUCGGAAUUACUGGGCGUAAAGCGUGCGUAGGUGGUGGUUUAAGUCCGUUGUGAAAGCCCUGGGCUCAACCUGGGAAUUGCAGUGGAUACUGGGUCACUAGAGUGUGGUAGAGGAUAGUGGAAUUUCCGGUGUAGCAGUGAAAUGCGUAGAGAUCGGAAGGAACAUCUGUGGCGAAGGCGACUAUCUGGGCCAACACUGACACUGAGGCACGAAAGCAUGGGGAGCAAACAGGAUUAGAUACCCCAGUAGUCCCUGUCUCUUAUAC